rnacentral:rRNA from 1 species
UACGGAGGAUCCGAGCGUUAUCCGGAUUUAUUGGGUUUAAAGGGUGCGCAGGCGGGAGAUUAAGUCGGCGGUGAAAUUUUGCAGCUCAACUGUAAAAGUGCCUUCGAAACUGGUUUCCUUGAGUGUGGAUGAAGUAGGCGGAAUUUGUGGUGUAGCGGUGAAAUGCAUAGAUAUCACGAGGAACUCCGAUUGCGCAGGCAGCUUACUAAACCAUAACUGACACUCAGGCACGAAGGCGUGGGGAUCAAACAGGAUUAGAUACCCUGGUA